UUUCAAGUUAUGGGGCUAGAUAAUACAUGGCAGAAUCAACAUGACGUCAUCAACACAAUCAAUAUGACGUCAUCAACACGAUCAAUAUGACGUCAUCAACACAAUCAAUAUGACGUCAUCAACACAAUCAAUAUGACGUCAUCAACCUUGUAUAAGAGUGAAUUUAAUCGUGUGAGUCAAAGUGGAACAGACUGUGACAAGUGUGUCAUUAAGUAUAAAGUAUCUCCAAACGAUUCCACUCAGAGUAACUGUGAUGGUUUGACCCAUAAUUGCCCACAGUUGACGCUGACUAGAGCUGGUUCUAAUGACAGCAUUACUUUUGACAAGUGCAAAACUGCUUUGUUUUAUGCUGUUUAUCAACUUAACAAUGAAAAUGUGGUUCGUGCAUUGAUUGAUGCUGGUGCAGAUGUCAACAUAACUGAUGAGGGGAAAACUGCUUUGUUUUAUGCUGUUCAACAAAAUAACAAUGAAAGUGUGGUUCGUGCAUUGAUUGAUGCUGGUGCUGAUGUCAACAUAACUGAUAAUGAGAGGAGAACUGCUUUGUUUUAUGCUGUUCAACGAAGUAACAAUGAAAGUGUCGUUCGUGCAUUGAUCGAUGCUGGUGCUGAUGUCAAUAAAACUGGAGAUUUUGGCCAAACUGCUUUAUUUUUUGCCGUUAAAAAGAUAAACAAUGAAAGUGUGGUUCGUGCUUUGAUUGACGCUGGCGCUGAUGUGAAUUUUCUUGAUGGAGGAAAACAAAAUGCUUUGUUUAAUGCUGUCCAGCAAGAUGACGCACAAGUUGUUCGUGUCCUGAUUGAUGCUGGUAUAAAGAUCAACAUAAUUGAUAACGAUAGGAGAACUCCUUUGUUUUAUGCUGCCAAACAUGGCAAUGCAGAUGUUGUUCAUGCUCUGAUUAAUGCAGGUGCUGAUGUUACUUUUAUUAACAAACUAGGACGAAAGGCUUUGUUUUAUGCAUUUCUCGAUGAAGACGAAGAAAUUUUCUAUGCUUCAACUCAACACGACAAAAAACAUGUGGUUCGUGCAUUGAUUGAUGCUGGUGCUGAUAUCAACAGAACUGAUAAUGAGGGGAGAACUGCUUUGUUUUAUGCUGUUCACGAAAGGAACUAUGGAAGUGUGGUAAGUUCAUUGAUUGAAGCUGGUGCUGAUGUCAACAUAGCUGAUAAUUCUGGAAAAACUGCUUUGUUUUUUGUGAGUGGUAAUGAUAAAGGCCGUUGUGUAGCUCGUGUAAUAAUAGAGCAGGGUGGUGCUCUGAUAGAUGUCAGGGAUCAUGAUGGCAGAACUCCUUUGUUUUUCGCUAUGAAAAGCAGCCGAUACAGUCUUUCUUUCGCUAGUUACCUUCUUGAAAAAGGAGCAAAUCCGAAUCUGAAAGACAACAAUGGUACCAGUAUCGUGUCUUUCUUUAUUGAAAAUUGCCAGUGGUUAACGUGUUUUUACCGUUUCGGAUUUGGAAUACGUCCUGAUCCACCAAACCGCAUGGGAUAUGAACUUGCUCUUCUCACUGAACAUGGAGUACAAAGGAAAACCGUUUGCAAAGCACUCAUCAAUGCAUUGUUCUGUAAGACGGUCAAUAUCCUUUAUUUUCCAGAUAGUUCUGUUGACGACUUUUUGAGCAUCCAUGAUCAAAUUAGAUUAAUUUUCGCCUACUGUGAUAACGAUGAAAAUAUCCGAAAAGGUGCAGAGCUUUUAUUGCGUAAAUUUGAAGAAAUGCAAAUGUAUGAGGAGAAUGAGAUUGCAUUACAGCUAUCAGGACUUCUUGCUCUACUAAUUGAAAUGGGCGCCAAACCAAACUACGUGGACAUAAAAGGAAACAACGCCAUUCACUAUGCUACUCGCCUACCGUUUGUCGGCAUACCUCAAGAAACGGUCAUGGAAAUAUUUCGUCAUCUAAAAGCUUUCGGAGUAAACUUUGAUGCCAAAAACUAUAGGAAUGAAGCACCCCUCCAGUGUUGCCUUUCCGGCUGGGGUGCUCAACUUGAAAGAAGAUUCCACGUGGAAAGUUUGUCGCGCUGUUUCACCACAUUGGUAGAAGUUUGGAGAUUUUGCUUGAAACAAGGCACGAGCGUGAAUGGGAUUACGAAAAGCGGGAAUUCGGUGUACCACUUGAUUCUAAAGCUCUUCUCGAAACCUUAUAAGCCUGUUGAAUUCGAAUCAGUGAGACUUUGCGAUCCUAUUGUGCUGUCUAACAUAGCAGAAUUGAUAAAACUAUCUUCAUCUAAGAUUUCAAACCACUUGUUCUUAGUCAACCAUAGGGAUGAGAAUCUGAACACACCACUACACCUAUGGGCAUCAUUGGAACAGGCAGGUAACGAAAAACUGGGGGAAGGAUACGCCGCAAUUUUUAAACAUCUUUUAGAAUGCGGUGCAAGACUUAAUGAACGGAACAAAAACCAGGAAACACCUCUUCAUUUGUGCAAGACAUGGAAAGCUGCGAAACUUCUUUUAGAUGCUGGAGCAGAGCCAAAUGUGCUGGAUUCAGCAGGAAGGUCCCCUCUUCUCGUUGCAGUUUCUGAACGAUUUCGAACACUUCAUCGUAGGUUCAGAGAUAUAUUUUAUCCAGAUAUUUCAGAAGAGCCAAAAGAAUUCUACGAAAUCGCCAUUGAAAGCAAUCUUGAUUUGUGGUCUGUUGACGAAAAAGGGAAUUCUAUUUUAGAAUUAUUUAACUGGUUUGAUGAUGCUAAGCUGUUAUUAGAAGUCAUGAACGACAAACAUCUUCUUCAGUCAGACGCCGUUUCAUUGUCGCUCUUGAGUUCUAUAUGCAAUCAGUCUCUAACGAAAGUUCAUUGGAGGGCUUCUCUUGUGGAAAUUAUUUUAAAAGCAAGAAAGAGGCCCAUCUUUGUAAAAGCCGACCAAGAUUCACCGCUUCAUUUUUGCUGCAGAAGAAUCAUUCAAGGACGAAGAUUUGUCGAUGAUAUAGAGUCUUCAGUUCAAUGGACAAUUGCAAAGCUGCUUCUUUCAUAUGGUUACAAGAGCAUUGACACUCCUGGUAAAUCAGGCCAAACCUGUUUGGACAUAGCAGAGAAAUAUCCUCCACUACGAGAACUUCUUCUAAAGCCUAUUGACAUCAAAGAUGUUCCAUUACUUGUUCCUUGGACGUCCGUAUCCAACAGGUACCAUGGAACAUUAAGCAAAGUUGCCAGGCGACAGGAGUGCCAGCACACUGAGUCAUAUUGGUACCACAAAGACCAUUUGACCAGUGGCUCGUUUGGUCUUGUCUUUGCAGGAAUCAACGAGAACGAUGGCAGGGAAGUGGCCAUUAAGCGCAUCGAAAAGUUGCGUUUACGGAGGCCAGAAGACAAACGAGAAAUUGAGAAUCUCACUGCUCUCGCAGACUGCGAGCAGGUUGUUCGCUAUUUGUCUUUUUUUGAAGAAAAUGACUUUUCUUACAUUGUCUUAGAGCUGAUGGAGGGAAAUCUCGAUGAGUACCUUGACACUGUUGUUGGCUGUCCCAUUCAAGAAAGUAUCAAACUUUCUAAAGACGUCUUACUUGGGUUGAAGUUUCUGCAAGAAGUAGACAUCCUUCACAGAGAUCUCAAGCCUGCUAAUAUUCUUUAUAAACGUCAACCUGAACUGUGCUUGAAAAUCGCUGACUUUGGUCUAAGUCGUCGUACUGGUAGUAUUUCUACGACAGUUUAUGGCACCAACGUUGGAACAAGGUGCUGGAUUGCUCCAGAAGUGCUUAAGGCGACCAAAGAUCAUUCUAAAGCGUCUGACGUCUUUUCUUGUGGACUUGUUCUUCAUUACAUUUUAUCGAAGGGCAAGCACCCAUUUUCUCCUUCUUUUUGUAAUGGUAAAAGUGAACUGCAAGUUCACAAUGAGACAGAAGCUAAUGUGAUGAACGGUAAUAUGGAAGGACGGGAUAAUUCUCUUUGUAUUGAAGCCACUCACCUUCUAAAGAAAAUACUCGAUUAUGAUGACACUAGACGCCCAUCUGCAGCUGAAGCAUUGGAUCAUCCAUUGUUUUGGUCAAAGAAGAAAAAGAUGGAUCUUCUAAUAGCUGUUGGUAAUCAACCAGAAUUCAGCUGCCCACGUGCUAAAGUGGCCUCUCCCUUGACUGCUGUUGAGAAUGACUUGGAAGCAAGCUUUGGUACGAUAGUCAAACAUGUAAAAUGGAAUGACCCAGGUUAUGUACACAUGCCAGUCAUUUACAACGAAAUGAUGUUGAAAAGGAAAAUGCCAUAUGAUCCUUUUUCCAUGGUAGAGCUAGUGCGCUUUAUACGAAACGCUUACGCACAUGUGACUGCAUUACCAAAGCCAAUUCCAGAUCAGUUGUUGAAAGACUUUGUGUUCUUGGAAUAUUUUCCAAAUCUUGUGAUGGAAGUCUUCAAGGCUGUAACCACUCAUGGAUGGGAUCAGACGAGAGAAGAAAUCAAAUAUGCCAUUGGUGAAUAAAAAUUUAGGAUACUAUAACCAUCUUCCCCAUUAUCAAUGUUGUUUCGCCUGCCUGGUGCACAUGAGCAUUCGUCCAUUCAACAUUGCUAGGGAGAAGGCUUUCAUGAGGAUUUUCUGGAGGUGCAUAGCUUCAAGACAUCUUAUCAACCUUCCAUCGUCAGUAAAUAUGUAGCCUAGUUAACAAUCCCCGGUAUCCAAUGGAAUAAUUCGACGAUUCGGCGGCCAUGUUGAUACGAAGGCAUCAUGGGUCGCCCAGGGGUUAAAACAAAACAAGGAUGCUAAAAUGACGAUCCCCACGAUAUUUCAGAAAAUUCCUCAGUUGUGGAACAGUUUACAUAUUUUAAUUCGUCACUUGUCAAAUUGUCUUGUUCCAAACCGUCAAUGUAUAUCAACGCCAUUAUUGUAAUAAUGGUUUGCCCCUAGAUGACCCACAAUGCUUUGUAAUUCAAGAUGGCCGCUGCAUCGUCGAAGUAAGCCAUUGAACUCCAAUUUGAUAGAAAAGAAGAAAAUACGUCGCAUAACUGUUAGGUUACAUUAGGUUACAGAGAGGGUACAAUUUAGGAUUUAUUUUACGCGAUCAGAGUUUUAAAUUUUGAGAUAUUCUAGCUAAUUUGUUGAGCUUCUGGGACAUAGCAACGGUAACUAAGGGGAGAUGGAACUAUGAAUUGCCCUAUUUCACUAUGACGUCACUGCUUGUUUA
rnacentral:misc_RNA from 1 species